AGCAACCACCACAGACACAGCUGCCAUCUCCAUCAGUUGACUACAGCAAUACACCCGUGUCUUUCCUAAAAUAUAACAGAAAUGCAGUCACACACGUCAAAGAUUAUGAUCGUCGCAUAACAAAUGAUACUAUCGAUCGGACUUUGAGCUCUUUCGUGUCAGAAUUCAUGCCUCUAUUACAUGAAGUUCUCACUAGGCUUGGUGUUUUUGUCAGACCUCUUCCAGUUACCAUAUAAUGUGUGUUUUAUCAGGCUUCUGGUUGCUUUUGUUGUGGAUUUGAGUUCUUUUCUUCCAGAAUUCAAGCCUUCCUCACCAAGCUUGGUACUUUUGUCAGAUAUCUUUCUAAUUACCAUGUAAUGUCUGUGUUCUUCUAUCAGGCUUCUUGUUGCUGUAAGAAUUUGAUUAUUACUA